rnacentral:rRNA from 1 species
UACGGAGGGGGCUAGCGUUGUUCGGGAUUACUGGGCGUAAAGCGCACGUAGGCGGCUUUGUAAGUUAGAGGUGAAAGCCCGGGGGCUCAACUCCGGAAUUGCCUUUUAAGACUGCAUCGCUAGAAUUGUGGAGAGGUAAGUGGAAUUCCGAGUGUAGAGGUGAAAUUCGUAGAUAUUCGGGAAGAACACCAGUGGCGAAGGCGGCUCUCUGGGACGGUACUG